rnacentral:tRNA from 1 species
GUUAAUGUAGCUUAUCUUAUUAAAGCACAGCACUGAAAAUGCUGGGAUGAGGAGUAAUAUCCUCCAGAAACA